GAGGAAAGUGAGGAAAGUGAGGCGUCAGAGAGAUGAAGCAACUUGUUUGAAGGCGGCCACACAGCUGGCCCUGAGGAUAUCCAGACCCUAGAGGACCAAUGACAGGCAGACAGGCCCAAGAUGGGAAACCCAGAAGCACUCUGAGAUGUCCUAGACGCUGAGAUGUCCUGCCUGAGACCUCCAGGAUUAACUGAAGGCCAGCAGCUAGUGCUCCUGAGCCCAGUCAUAAGUGACAGUCUAUGAGGGCAAACUGAUCCCCACUUCUUUUCACUCCUUAAGCUUCUACUGAAGCCUCCAGCAGACUCUUGGGCCCCAAAGCUGCUGCGUCCCCUAGAAACACCUAAAAGGAUGCUCCUGGCUGCAAAGCGCCCUGAGCCUAUAACCACAGGAACUGCUCCAUCAGUAUCCAGUGUGCCUGCUUAUUGCCUGGUUACCUGCCCGGCUUGUCCUUGUGCAGAUGCAGUGGAUGCCAGAACACCCUACAGCUGGAGAGAGGCGGGGAAACCCUCAGGUGCUUGUGCCUACGAGCACUGCCCCAGCCUGGCAGCACCAGGGAUGGGAGAGGAAGGAAAGCCCCAGGAAUGCCUGUGGGGUGUGACAGCAGCCCCUGAGUGAAGAGCUGUGCCCAACCCCAGCUAAGCCCUCAGGACCCAGGACAAGGGGCCUUCUUCUACAUAGGAGAGUGGCCUCAUCAGCAUCCCACAUAGAGGGAGGCAGACAGGCCCUGCAAACCUUCCUCUAAACUUCACGCAUCUCCUCGGAAGUCCCUAUAAUAAUGACAAGUAGGUUUAUUGAGCACUAAUGGGCUGGGUGCUUGGCUAAGUGGUUUAUGUCAGCAUCUCAUUUAAUUCUCCGAAGAACCUUGUAUGCUAGUAUUAUGGGGAGCCUGUCUAGUGGGUCAGAAAAUAUGACCGACAAUAAAAAUUUGAAGACAAUAACAACAAUAAUAACAUUAACAAAGGAAACAAUGCUUCCCAGAGAUCUAAGGAAGGGAAAUUAAUGUCUGAUGAAGGGAUGAUUAAAGUGACGAUGGAGAAAGGGAUUUCACAGGAAAUACGAAGAUACGAAAGUAAUUCUUCAGAGAAGAUCUCCACCAAGAACACUCAACCCACAUUCAGGCAGAAUAUGCAAGGAGGCAAACUGUUGUGGACUACGCGAUCUCCACAUGGAAGAUGUCACAUCAAAAAAUAAAAAUAGGCCGGGCGCGGUGGCUCACGCCUGUAUUUCCAGCACUUUAUGAAGCCGAGGCGAGUGGAUCACCUGAGGUCAGGAGUUUGAGACCAGCCUGGCUAACAUGGUGAAACCCCAUCUCUGUUAAAAACACAAAAUUAGCCAGGUGUGGUGGCACAUGUCUG
rnacentral:lncRNA from 1 species